rnacentral:rRNA from 1 species
CCUACGGGUGGCAGCAGUGAGGAAUAUUGGGCAAUGGACGCAAGUCUGACCCAGCCAUGCCGCGUGCAGGAUGAAGGCGUUCUGCGUUGUAAACUGCUUUUAUCUGGGAAGAAACCUGAGUAUUCUUAUUCAGCCGACGGUACCAGAUGAAUAAGCACCGGCUAACUCCGUGCCAGCAGCCGCGGUAAUACGGAGGGUGCAAGCGUUAUCCGGAUUCACUGGGUUUAAAGGGUGUGUAGGCGGAUAUUUAAGUCAGUGGUGAAAUCUCCAGGCUC